AGGACCAGACAGCUGUAAGAAAAAGAAGCCAGCUGUAGAUCCAACACUGGGACCUAUAUUCCUUGUGGGAAAACGCGAAAACAUUUCCAGCUAACGAUUUCUGGGAAGAACAAGCUGCAACAUAACCACAAGAGACAAAUAGCAAGCAAUUGGACAGCUGAUGAACAGCCUCCUGUCAAUCAUCAUCCUAAGUGAGCCAAUUGUUCUGACUGUCUGGUCUUCCAGGAUUGUGAUGUUGCCAUUGCUGGGCACCAGGCCAGCAGGCAGGCUGAGGCUCCUUCUGUGGAAGAGGAACUUGAUUUGCUUGCCAUAGAGAAUUGCCUGCCUUGCCUUGGCCGCACAGCUCAUACGCC